CCUCUUCAAGCCUCCCUGGCCCGCAUCUGCCUGCCUGUGCAAGACAAGGGGCCCCAGUCUUCUCUUCUGCACAGGAGGGGUCUCAAUUCCUACCUUUAGGUUGGGGUGAGGGUUAAAUAAAUUCGGUGUCUGACUUUUUGCUUUGCCGGGCGGGGGGCUGGCCCAGGGCCUCGGGCCGAUAGGUGAACGCUCUCCCGCCGAGCCACACGCCCCCCCACCCCCAAGCUCGGUGUCGACAGUCGCCUUGCAGAAGACUUUAUAGACAAAGGAAUUAAGAAGCUAGUAUUUUACACACGAACGUUUCCACCAGGGCCGGGGUUGCAGCUCAGCGGUGGAGCUCGAUGCCUGGGUGUGCUCCCCAGAAAUCCACCCCCCUCAAAUAAAUUGAAUCCCAAAAAAGUGACUUUUUCCAUUAUCUAACAAUCCUUCAAGGUGUGAGUAUUAUUCGAAGUCCAAAACGUUUACUUAAUUUCAUCCUAAUUCCUUUCACUUUAAGCUGUAUUUUAGAAAAUCACACAGUAUCCUCGGUGUGAUUUUGUGUAGUUUUAAACUGUUUAUUCAUGACAACUCCUAAGAGGCAGAGAACGACGACCCUGACGCGGACGGGGCCACGGCCCACUCCCACACAAGCGCACCGCCCGGGCAGCACUGAGGUCCGGCAGGCGCAACACCCGCUCACACCACAGUCACCUCCGGCGACAAAUGAGCCCUUAACGGCCACCAAAGCUCCUCAGAAGCGCGCUGAGCUGUUCCUGCUGCCUGUCACCCUGCUAACCGUCCCCACUCCUGGGCGCAUCACAAACAGAGGGCAUUGCGCGGGGAAGGAAGGAAGCCUGAAGACGAGGGACUGGUUUCCGCUCUUCCUUGUGCUUGGCUGUGCAGAGAGACUGGCCCAAAACCUAAGCCAGCGUUUGUGACAGCAUGAACGAGUCACGCUGAUAAAUCUCAGAAACCUAUGUUGGAAAUGAAGACUGAAAAGAAAAUGCUGUCCGGAUGGGGAGGCACAGUCUCUCUUCGGCCGCAGAGGGAGCUGCUGCAUCGAGUCUCACCAUUUGCCCUCCAACGCAGCCGUUCCUCCUUGCCCCGAGUUCCCUCUACACCUGCAGCAGGGCACAGAUUUGGGAGAUGACGUUUAAUACUUAGAGGGACUGUUAACCAACAAGGGAGCAUAAAGGAAGGAGGGAACCCAAUAAAAAUCAUCAGCUGCCGAGCAAAGCACCUCAUUAGGGCUUAUCCUUGUACUAAAGACCUUGGAGAAAGAGCCUCUGUGUCCACAAAGUUCAGCCAUGGGUUGUGGAAAAGCGACUCCCAGGACCAAACUGUUCAAAACUUUCAAAAUGAUUUUUUUUCUCAAAAGCACGGACAGGUUUUUAAGAACACUUGCUCGACCUAAAUAUUGUUUCUCAUCAUCAAGGAUAGAGAAUAAAGGAGACACAAGAGCCCUUUCUUUGCUCUAUAUCUGGAGCCUGCAUCCUUGUUCAUUUUUAAAGGGUCAAAAAGAGAAAGUGGGUUAAGAGAGGAUUCUAUACUGCACAUCCAAUUUUGCUCCUCUGCAAAAUCCCGCUAAAAUUUGAGCAAAGAGCUUUUCUUUAAAAUACACAAACCCACAUGAAAGGGAACACAAUCAAAUACAUGAGCAAUGGAAUUCCAGAAUCUGGAAAGCAGACUGACGUGCAGCAGCCCCACACCCUGCAACGGUGCACAGGGAGCCUCGGGCUCGAAGAGGCUAAACUUGGGGCUGGGGAGCUGCCUCACUGAGCGGGUCUGUCUCCCACUCACUGCUGGGCCGGCCUUUCCUGGGGAGGAUGGGGUCUGGGCACCCUAACAGAAGGCCGUGGGCUGCAGGGUGCGAGGUGCCUACAUUGCCUACGGAACACAGACUCACGGCUGAGUGCAACUUGAAUGCAAAGUGCUAACAACAUCCAUUUCUUUCCUCCACUUGGCUUCCAGAAGGGCAGAAGCCUGACUCUUUCCCUUCAGGAAGGAGAUGGGAAGGUUCCUUUUUACUGAAUGUAUAGCUCAGACUCAAGAAGCUGAGGCAGGAGGACCA